rnacentral:lncRNA from 1 species
GAGCCGCUCCGAGGGGCCCACCCGCGAGCAGCGGGGAAGGCGGGGACCCGGGCCCCGCGGGCCUGCAGCGCCCCCGCACCCGGUUCCACGCGCCCAGGGCCGCCCCCGCGGAGAGAGGGGGCGCGAGGGGCGCGCCUCUCGCUCGGACACCCUCUCCCAGCUCGCGCCCCAGGUGAGAAAAUGAAGGCACAGAGAGAUUGAGUAACUUGCACAAGGUCACAUGUAGGAGAACUGAGCAUCCACCCUACUCAGCCUGGCCCCAAGGUCCAAGGUAACUUAAACCCAAUUAUAAAUGGCUUUGGCUAUAAAGUGUUCUUGAAUGAAAACGUUUAGGAAGUAGGCCUGGAUUCAGAUGCUUCAGAGGCUCAAAGGUUUUCUAAUUGUUUAUGGAGAAGAUUGAUCUUCACAAGCUAGUUUUUUCAUAGGCAAAAGCAAAAGUCUCUUCCUGUGUUAUUAAGUGAAAAUGGCUGAUUAUAAAAAGGCCCUGGGUCAGGAGGUUGCCGAUUCCAGGAAGAAUCAGACCUUAUCCCUGCCCUUGAGUCUCAAGAAGAGGAAAGGAAAACAAAUAAGCAUAGUACAGUGUGAAAAGUGGGACUGUGGUCAAAUUUCAGUCUGCAAACUCAGAUCAUGAAAGAUAGUGUGGCUUCCACUUUGGUCUCUUAUAUCACCUACUGGGGGAAGCCAGCUGCCAUGUUGUGAGGACACUCAAGAAGCUCUGUGGAGAGGCUCUUUUGAAGGAGAACCAAUGCCUCCCACCAACAGCCAGCAUCAACUUGGGACAUGUGAGUGAACCAAUUGGAAGUGGAUCCUCCAGCCAAGUCAAGCCUUCAGAUGACUGAAGCCCCAGCCUCAUGAGAGAUAGCAGGCUAAAACUGCCCAGCUAAGCUGCUCCUGAAAUCCUGACCCCCCAAAUUAUAAAAGACAAUAAAUUAUUAUUGUUGUUUUAAGCCACUACAUGUUGGGGUGAUUCAUUAUGCAGCAACAGAUAAUAAAUACAUCACCCUUGUAUUCAUUACUGACGUUUAUUGGGAGCAUAGUGUGUGAUUUUUCAUUUAACCCUUCCAGUAAUGCUGUGAGAUAGGUAAGUUUAUUAUCCCCAUUUUACAGACAAAGAAACUGAGGUUCAGAAUGAGUGAAGUCUCUUCCCUGCAGAGUCCCUGACCUUAAGGAUUUUAUGGUCAGAUCUGAGAGACAGAAGCUCAAAAACCUAUGACUCUAGGCAAAAUAUGGCCCUGGGAUCCCAGGAUGGGGAGAGGAAUUUUGGAUUCUGGCUUCUACUUGGGCCUCAUAGCUUGGGAUGACAGAGGGUACACUCCAAAGGCAACAAACACCUUCCCUGCCCUUGAGCACCUGCUUAAUCAAGGGGAGAAAGUUCAGAUGCUUAUGCAUAAUGUGUGGUAUUUCUCUGCACAGAAACACACACGGGCCUGUACAGUAAUAAUGAAAAGCAACAACCCAUCUUAAGGGCUUGGCACUUUGCACUUACAAAGCCUUAUACAUCCCUAAUUCCAUGGAAUCACACCUGGCAGGUAAGCGUGGCCCUGUACACUUUACAGAUGGGGACACUGAGGUCAGGGAAGUUGUGUGAUUCUUGCAGAGCCAAGCAGCCUAGAAGUGGCAGAGUUCAGGUAAAACCCAGUAACUGGGUGUUUUACAAGUGCUAAGGGUAUGACAGGAGGUAGGCAGGGCUCCUCUGAGGGAGGUUUCAGGAAGAGGUCACCCGCGAGCAGGGUUCUGAGAAUGGGGAAGUGGCUUCGGGGAGAGGAUGGUGCCUGGGAGGGUUUGAGAGGAAACAGAGUGAGUCCCUAGGGGCUCCCAGGGUGUACGAGGGCAAAGAGGUGAACAUAGCUGGAGUGGAAAGAAUGAGAAAGCCUGGGUGUGUGGAAGAGCCUUGGUGUGUUAGGUGGAAUUGCAGCUGGAGGGUGUGUGCAGAAUGAGAGGUCUUGGUAUUGGGGCCAAAGUCAACUGCCACGCCUAAGGAGGGAGGAAGGCGCUUAUUUUGCUUCUUGGGUGAAAAUCAUUCCUGUGAUUUAGUUCUCCUUGGGGGAGGGGCGGGGUUUCAUCCAGCCUUAGCAAAUGCAUUCAAUCUUCACUACUUCUCUCUGUCAGAUGGGGUGGAUAGAGGUCCAAAUGUGGGCAGAAGCUUUUAUGUCCCAUCGCAGGGCAGCUAAGAACAGCUGCGCGGGUCGUUCACUGUACAUGGGCACUAGGCCAAAAGGGACUGAAAUCCGGACGGCCCUUUGUUUACUAAGCCAUGUGCCUGCAAGGCUGCACCUGCCCAGAAGGAAUGCUUCCUAUUUCUUUUCUUUAAAAAAAAAUUUUUUUUAUGAGCUAAAAUUCACAUAACAUAGAAUCUACCAUUUAAACCACUUUAAAGUAUAAAGUUCAGUGCUUUUAGUAUAGUCACAAUGUUGUGCAACCAUCACCACUAGCAGUUUUCGGAACAUUUCCAUCAUCCCAAAAAACAACUCCAUAACUCCUAAUUCCCCCCCUUUCCCCAUCUCUUGGCGACCAUGAAUCUGAACUUUCAUAUGAAUGGAGUUCUAUAAUUUGCUGUCUUCUGUGACUGUCUUCUUUCAUUUGGCAUUAAAACUUUUCAAGUUUUACCCAUGUUGUGGUAUGUGUCUGUACUUCAUUCCUUUUUAUGGCUCGAUAAUAUCGCAUUGUGUGAAUAUUCCACAAUUUGUGUAUCCCUUCAUGAGUUGAUGGACAUAUGGGUUAUAUCCACUGGCUGUUAAGAACAGGCGGGUCACGGUGGCUCACGCCUGAAAUCCCAGCACUUUGGGAGGCUGAGGUGGGCGGAUCACCUGAGGUCAGGAGUUCUAGAUCAGCUUUGCCAACACGGUGAAACCUUGUCUCUACCAAAUAUAUAAAAAUU